CGACGAGUUUGAUCCUGGCUCAGAUUGAACGCUGGCGGAAUGCUUUACACAUGCAAGUCGAAGGGUAGAGGGGGCAACCCCUUGAGAGUGGCGAACGGGUGAGUAAUAUAUCGGAACGUGCCCAGUCGUGGGGGAUAACGUAGUGAAAAUUACGCUAAUACCGCAUACGAUCUAAGGAUGAAAGCGGGGAUCGCAAGACCUCGCGCGACUGGAGCGGCCGAUAUCAGAUUAGGUAGUUGGUAGGGUAAAGGACCGUACCCAAGCCGAACGAUCUGUAGCUGGUCUGAGAGGACGACCAG
rnacentral:rRNA from 1 species